UCGCGCUGGCUGCCCGCCGCAAUCUGUGUACUUUAAUUUAUAUUAAAAAAAAAACUUGCUUUCCAAAUUUGAAAAUGCAAUCUUUAAUCGUUUUUAUUAAUCUGUGCAUGGUUGCAGUAUGUGGACAGGACUGCAGAGUUCGCGGACAAUGGUGCGCAGAUCAUGAAUAUUGUUGCGGUGGUUGCUGUUUUGAUAACAUAUGUUAUGACACUUACAGAUCCUGUCUGGCUCCCUUUGACGUUUGCAAAGACUAUCCCUGCAGGGGAGAGGAAAAUUGUUUUGUUUAUAAGCCCCCAGAAUGUCGUGGCUGUGAGCCCAUACCUUUAUGCAGACUGGAAGAGCCUUAGUGAAAGAUUUACUACGGUGAAGAUAUUGCGAUGGAAUUCACACCAUUUAUUGUCUAUCAUACCUGCUUCUAGAAAGAGAUACUAAAUCAGAAGAAUGAAAAUUAUUGGUGAAGAUGAAUCGAUGUGCUUGAAGAAAAACAAAGAUAUAAGAUGUUGAGAAGAACAAGUUUGUGAGUUGGUUUUUCAAUAAAUUAUGUUAAAUCAC